rnacentral:rRNA from 1 species
UUUUGGACAAUGGGCGCAAGCCUGAUCCAGCAAUGCCGCGUGGGUGAAGAAGGCCUUCGGGUUGUAAAGCUCUUUUGUCAGGGAAGAAACGGUGAGCUCUAAUACAGUUUGCUAAUGACGGUACCUGAAGAAUAAGCACCGGCUAACUACGUGCCAGCAGCCGCGGUAGUACGUAGGGUGCAAGCGUUAAUCGGAAUUACUGGGCGUAAAGCGUGCGCAGGCGGUUAUGUAAGUCAGAUGUGAAAUCCCCGGGCUCAACCUGGGAAUGGCAUUUGAGACUGCAUGGCUAGAGUGUGUCAGAGGGGGGUAGAAUUCCACGUGUAGCAGUGAAAUGCGUAGAGAUGUGGAGGAAUACCGAUGGCGAAGGCAGCCCCCUGGGAUAACACUGACGCUCAUCACGAA